AGAGUUAAACAGUACGUGAAAUUGUUGAAAGGGAAACGAUUGAAGUCAGUCAUGCUAGUAGGAAAUCAACUUGGCGUUGCUUGCUCCUCCUUGUGUACUUUCUUGAUUGGCAGGUUAGCAUCAAUUUUAGUUGUCAUCAAAGAAUUUGGGGAAUGUGGCUACUCUUCGGAGAAGUGUUAUAGACCCUGAUAGAUGUGACGACUGGGAUUGAGGAUUGCAGCGGAUGCCUUUGGCUAGUCACCUGUCUUCUGGCGGUCACCUCGCUUUUGACAGCUUGCUGAUGAUUGUGGGAUUUGGCAGUCUAGAAGGUAGAAUGAUCAUAAAUUCGCUAAGGAUGCUGACAUAAUGGCUUUAAACGA
rnacentral:misc_RNA from 1 species